CAUGGUGACCAUUAACCCAUUCCGUAUUUGCCAGGAGGAGGAGGGUGCUCUUAUCGCUAGGCCUUCCCUUCCUUUCUCAGGUUAGUGUAGCCCAUUAGCUCUCUUAUAUUGACAUCGCUGGUUCCUGGUGGAGACUGGGGAAAUGGAGUCACAGGGAAAUGCACCCGUAAGGAAUGGGGAAAGAUCCAGAGUCCUCCUGCCUUCCAGCCUUGUCCUCUGGUCCAUCUUCACUCAGGUGCCAGUGGGCUUCAUGGCUGAGUGGAGAUUUGAACUCUGGUCUCCAGGCUACUCUAACCACUACACUACGCUGGCUCCUUGAACCUUCUUGCACUCUACUCCCUGGGGACACUGGAGACCAUAGAACUGUAGAGUUAGAAGGCCCACCAGGGUCAUCUAGUCCAACCCCCUGCAAUGCAGGAACCUUUUGCCCAACAUGAGGCUUGAACCCACAACCUUGAAAUUAGGAGUCUUAUGCUUUACCGACCGAGCUAUCCCAGCUUGGAUCCUGUCGCUCCAUCACAAUGGCCAUCACUUUAUUGUUCCCUUUUCUCAGAGAGCCAGGGGGUCCUUCCACCUCAGCCCCAAAACGUGCAAAGUGAUAAUAAUAAAGAUGAUAGUGCCUCUGAGCACACACAGAGUGAUCCCCCUCUUACAGCUGGAAAGGAAGCGACGUUUUAAUGAAUCGAACUACUGGUCCAUUUAGCUCAGAAGUGUCUAUGCAAAGUGACAGUGGCUCUCAAGGAAUUCAGGCAGUCUCUCCCAGAGUCCCAUCCCUGCCUGGUGAGGAAGGAAUCAUUGCAGCUCAUAAUCUGAGUUUUAUAGUAGCCUAAUCUAUACUCUGAUACCUAUCAAUCCAUUUAGAUCCUAUCUCACAGGAAACUCUGUUUCUAUGGUCAUGAAGAGGAGAUAUUUUUGUUUGAAAUAAAGUUUAUUGAAGUCUUAUUUACAUUAUAUUACAGAGUAAAUAAUGGAUUGUUUUUUUGGCCCAGUCCCACCUCCAUAGCAAGGAGGACUGGGGUCGGGACGUUUUUAUUAACCAUAAUAAUAAUAAUAAUAAUAAUAAUAAUCAUUAAUAACCAUUAAUAACAAUUUUCUUGUAAUUAAUUAUUUUUUUCUUUUUUUAAAAAAAGGUUUCUUUGUUGGUUAAUUCAUCCCCUCCCCCUCCCCUUAGGUUCCCCUUCCCCCCCAACCCCAUUCACCCCAAAAUUCUAGGAUGCAGCCUAAGAAAAUAGAAUCAGUCCCACCUCUCCAGACCAGCUGCACCAAUUCUGCCUCCAUGACCACAGGGUCCACUUUUCCCACCGUGGCAGGCACUCUCCUCCCCGUGUUUCAAAAGUUGCAUUCCAUAUUUAACCUUAGACGCUUACAGAGAAUAAAAUACUCAGCUGGUUCCAAGAUGUCUCUCUGUGUGUGCAAAUUUAAGUCUUGUAAGCACCACCAGAAUAUUUCCACUUCCUCUGCCCAGGUGUGGCAGAGAGCUUUCACAAUAGGGAAAGAAAAUGAUUUAAUUGGCAUAAAAACUAAUACUUUGCCUUUGAGUGUGCCACACAUAUCGGUAUACGUCUGUUUAUUCCAAAACGCUUUUUCUAGCUUUAAUGCUGCUGACAAAAUGCCCCUAUUCCUAUUCUCCUUAGUCUGUGUAAAUGUACAAGAUGGCUUUUAGCCCUUAUAUGACUUCUUCCAUCCCAAGGGUUGUUUGUAUCCAUGCACAGGGGGGAAGGAAGCAAGGCUUAGAGAUGUUUUAAUGCUUUCAGUACCAAAAUUCAUCACGACACUAUUAAAUAUGCCACCCCUCACCCCCUCUCCUGUGGGGCUCUUGCACUUUUAACCACUCCGUGGUGGGUGGAAGUUGAACAGGUGCAGCUUUUCACAGUGAUGGCGAAGGCUUCACCUGUUGAAUUUUUGUUUGUCCUCAUGCACCUGUGAAAGCCACAGGAGAAAGCUCUGCCCUCCCCAAAGAUGGCAGAUUACUUAAAACGGUAAAAGCAAAACGUUUUCCCUCGCUUCUCUCAACUGUUUCUGGUUUCUGGCAUGACUGUUUGUUCAACAGAGAGCCCCAAAUGCAGGGCUGCCAGAUCUAGACUCAGAAUCCCCUUGUACCUUCAAGGCUUGCAUGGGAGAGAAAUUCUUACCGAGUGUGGCUUUUUCUACUCUUAAAGGCACAGAAAGCCUCUCAGAGGCAGGCCCACCAACCUUACCUAAAGGGAAUUUGCUACAUUUUCUCUAUGGUUUCCCUUCCUCCCCAAGAACAACCUCAGCUCGCAAGGAGAGGAACACAGAUCAACUUGGAUUGAUGGAGAGGUGUAGAGGGCAAGUCUAUCCUUUGAUGACUGCAAGGGUUCGCUUGCCUGUGUGAAUGAGCCAUUUGAUACCAGACAAGAUUGAUACACCUUUCCUAUCAUCUCAGAGCAAUGUUUACCCCCCCCAAUGGAUUUGGUACACACAUUCAAUCAGGGUGGGGUGGGUGGUUGAGUCACCCGUCAAAAGAACUCAAGUGAUGCCGCUUGAGUAAUAAUACAUCGGUAUCAGAAAGGUGACGUAUAAAUCCUUUAUAAUAAAUAAAGUGUGUGUUGUCUGAAUGAUGCAAAGGUGAUUUUGCAGUGAGGAGCGAACAACUUCACCGUAGGCGAUCAUCUCAGCCAUCCGUAUGAAAUUCAUGUGAAGUGGGACAGAGAUUACCGAGAAGCUGACAGUUGCCUUAAUUUUAGUGGACAAACUCCUGUGUCUUUAAGAGCUUCACGACACUCAAGAAAUGCAUAGCUGAAGUUUUCCCUGCAUUGCUGCAUCUCUAGGGACAGGGUCUCCUGCUGGAGCAAUGGAUGAAGACACAGGUGGUUGCCCAUACAGAAUGGAGCAAUAGUUGCUGGGGCCAUGAUUCCUACUCCACUGGCACUUUCUUGAUGUGUGAGAAGUCCACUCACACCCUACAAUACUUUUUUAAAAAGACAAAAAACAUGCCUUAUGCUGUAAUCCAAUGCUGACAUACCUGGGGGUAUGCCCUCACUGAACAUAGUGAGACUUCCUUCCGGGUAAACAUACAUGGGAUUGUGCUUCAGUUUCCCUUGCUGUAAUGUGAUCCUGCGUUCAAACUGCCCAUGUAUGGAUUCUGUAUGUUGUCAUGGUUCUGCUUUAGACACUUAGUCAUGGGUUUGCUUUUCGUGAAUUGUCUUGAGAUGUAUGAUUGGUAGCAUUAAAAACAACAGCCACCAUAACCCUUUAGAAAAUUGAGCAUCCUGAACGGGGGGAUAUUUUAUCAAAUAAUACUUUGGGAGGAGGUGUAGGGAAUAGCAUUCCUCCCCUCCCUACUCCAUAAAUUCAAGUGUGUUACUUUUAAAUAACAUGCUUAUAACUAGGGCUGCAAUGCUGAAUCAAUCAAUCAAUCAAUCAAUCAAUCAGGUAAACUCAAUUAAAACAUUUUGAUUGACUAAAAAAAGCUGUCCCUGAUUAACAUCAUGUAAAAACAAAGUUUGCAUUAGGCUGUAUCCAACUAGGUUCUAGUCAGAGUAAACCCACUGAACUUAAUGGACCUACGUUAGUAAUGCCCAUUAAUUUCAGCGGUUCAUCUCUGAAUAUGACUAAUUGGAUGCAGCCCAUUCCCCCACCCCCGCCUUAUAUGCACAUUUAUUCAGAUUUGAUUUAUAGUACAGUUCUGUUGACCAAGUCUUGGGCUGAUUAACUUUCUGUGUCCUUUUAAAUGUGUUUGUGGGAUGGAGGGUUAUCAGUCUGUCUUGGUUUUUUUUAAAUGUAAUUUGUGUUCUCAUUUUGUAUUUUUAUGUUGUGAACCGAUGAAGGGCGGUAUAAUAAUAAUAAUAAUAAUAAUAAUAAUAAUAGUGUUAGAAGUCUGCUCAGAAAUAAGUCAUUGAGUGAGUGCAAUGGGCUUCAAUUCUAAGCCUACUUACUAGGGAAGUAAUUCCAACUGAACUUAGUGGGACUUACUUUUGAGGAAACAUGCAUAGGGUUGAGCAGUAAGAAGUUGGUGAGUGUUGCAUUCAUUACAUUUGUUUCUGAAUUGUAAGAGCAGUGGUGGAAAACUGCAAUGGGAAGACCAGGGUAACAACUUGAUGGCCAUGUCAUAGAACCUCUGCACAAAUUUUGUGAAAACAAACCAAGAGGAUGGUUCAAUAUCUGCUUUGUCUGAUGGUGACCUAUGUCAGGAAACCUGAGGGCCCAUAAGCCAACCUGGGCCUGCUUUGUUUUCCUGUCUACAACCUUGCUGCACCAUUGGCUGGCUUGCUCUCAUGCCUUGAGCAUCAACCUGAUUUGCAAAAAUGAGCAAAUAAUGCUUUUCAAAACCUGGAAACUUGACACCAUCACCUGCUAAAGUCUGUAUAUCAAACUGCUGUUAAAAGCACUACUACAGUGACCACGUGGAAAGUUGGCAACUUUGCUUGCAGUUGCCCUAUGACCUCUAUAAAUUCCUCACACCCCAUCUCUCUCUCUCUGCCUCCCAUUUCAGGCUAUUAUUUAUUUAUUGCACAGCCCCAGCCCCACGGAGACUAGAUGUCCAGUUGCAAAGGAAAAAUUGCGGGUCCUAUGUCAAGCAGAUUUCCAAGGAGGUUUCCAUGCCUAUCAAAUCUAUUUGGAAAAUGGAAAAAAGAGGAGACUGACACCUUACAACCGUUAGCUGCAAAGCUGUCCUCCUACAAGAAGCCAUCAUCACUGCACCUAUGUUGCUGCUUGGCGAUGGCUAUUGCUGCUGACCUGACCGAACCUCUGAGCCACACACUCUGCUCUCCUCUCUUUAUUUGCACUUUGGAAUCAGAAGCCAUCCUUUGUAUUCCUUCCAUCCUGCAUUCUGAGUUGCCUUUUUUUGUUAAAUCUCUACAUUUAUGGACCCACCACCUCCCUGAUCUGGUAUUGCUAUGGAAGCUUGGCUCACAACAGUCCAGUUAUUUAAAAAAAAACCUGAGGCCCUAGUAGGGAGUGACAUGAGUAGCAGCAGUCCUGAAAGUUGCACCCAUUUGCUUUCUGCUUUCUGAGCAACUGCUUGUAUUUCCAGAGCUUCCCUCCCCCUGCAAAUAAAUAAAUAAAUACUGGCAAAUAAAUAAAUAAAUAAAUAAAUAUCACAACAACAACAGAUGAAACACAGGUUCCCAAACUCAAUAUAGCUUGACAAGGGCAGCAAUGAUUGAGUGCAUUGGACAACUGGAAAUAAUGGGGUGGGACUUAUUAUGGGAUUAAUGGAAGGUUGAGGAGUGAGUGCCUUCUCUUCCCUCCCCCUAAUCUGCAAAUUAUAGAUUUAGGGCUAAGAUUGGUACAACCCAACUGCAGACUGGAGGCGGC